rnacentral:rRNA from 1 species
GACGAACGCUGGCGGCGUGCUUAACACAUGCAAGUCGAGCGGUAAGGCCCUUUCGGGGGUACACGAGCGGCGAACGGGUGAGUAACACGUGGGUGACCUGCCCUCAGCUCUGGGAUAAGCCCGGGAAACUGGGUCUAAUACCGGAUAUGACUCCAUGACGCAUGUUGUGGGGUGGAAAGCCUUGUGCGGCUGAGGAUGGGCCCGCGGCCUAUCAGCUUGUUGGUGGGGUGAUGGCCUACCAAGGCGACGACGGGUAGCCGGCCUGAGAGGGCGACCGGCCACACUGGGACUGAGAUACGGCCCAGACUCCUACGGGAGGCAGCAGUGGGGAAUCUUGCGCAAUGGGCGAAAGCCUGACGCAGCGACGCCGCGUGAGGGAUGACGGCCUCGGUU